GACCGCUGCCCAUGGAUGGUACUGCCUACCCUUGUGGGAUGCUCCCCUCACCCCCAUCUACCACCAAUCAAGAUGGCAGCAUUUGCCAAUGUUAACUGUCCCCAAACACCCCUGGCUUGUGUCCUGUAGACAGAAACCUACCCAGCACGUGCUGCUGCCACCUCACCAUGCCUGCCCGCCUCACCGUACCUGCCCGCCUCACCAUGCGUCGCAAAGCAAGGGCACAGGUCAGAGAGGAGGAGGACCUCCGAUUUCCUCCUGGCCCUAAGACUGUUUUCAAAGGGAGGAUGUGGUCUGUGAAGAAGUCAGUAACGUCAAGGGAGGAAGGCGCACUUGCUACAGUUGACCUCUCCUCCCUGCUGCUUCUCUCCUUUCUCCCUCCCCCAAACCCCUCUCUCUCAUUCUGAAGGAAGUGUAUUCAGGUGCUACAAUUGCAGCAGUUAAAAAACUUUAAAUCAUUGUCAAUUCAUUUUUCCUAGGGAAAAAGUCAGGAAAGUCAUAACCUCUUCACUCUCUUGUUGACACCAUGUAGAUUGCCCCGGAGGAACUCGCCCUUGUCCGCAACCUAAGAAAAAUGGUGAAAAAUGACUGGCACGGAGGAGCAAUUGUGCUGAGCUUGAGCCAAACCGGGUCUCUCUUCAAGUCCAGAACAGCCUAUUUGCCACAUGAGCUGCUGGGAAAGG
rnacentral:lncRNA from 1 species